rnacentral:rRNA from 1 species
UGUGAGUAGCGAAAGACGGGUGAGAAUCCCGUCCACCGAUUGACUAAGGUUUCCAGAGGAAGGCUCGUCCGCUCUGGGUUAGUCGGGUCCUAAGCUGAGGCCGACAGGCGUAGGCGAUGGAUAACAGGUUGAUAUUCCUGUACCACCUAUAAUCGUUUUAAUCGAUGGGGGGACGCAGUAGGAUAGGCGAAGCGUGCGAUUGGAUUGCACGUCUAAGCAGUAAGGCUGAGUAUUAGGCAAAUCCGGUACUCGUUAAGGCUGAGCUGUGAUGGGGAGAAGACAUUGUGUCUUCGAGUCGUUGAUUUCACACUGCCGAGAAAAGCCUCUAGAUAGAAAAUAGGUGCCCGUACCGCAAACCGACACAGGUAGUCAAGAUGAGAAUUCUAAGGUGAGCGAGCGAACUCUCGUUAAGGAACUCGGCAAAAUGACCCCGUAACUUCGGGAGAAGGGGUGCUCUUUAGGGUUAACGCCCAGAAGAGCCGCAGUGAAUAGGCCCAAGCGACUGUUUAUCAAAAACACAGGUCUCUGCUAAACCGUAAGGUGAUGUAUAGGGGCUGACGCCUGCCCGGUGCUGGAAGGUUAAGAGGAGUGGUUAGCUUCUGCGAAGCUACGAAUCGAAGCCCCAGUAAACGGCGGCCGUAACUAUAACGGUCCUAAGGUAGCGAAAUUCCUUGUCGGGUAAGUUCCGACCCGCACGAAAGGCGUAACGAUUUGGGCACUGUCUCAACGAGAGACUCGGUGAAAUCAUAGUACCUGUGAAGAUGCAGGUUACCCGCGACAGGACGGAAAGACCCCGUGGAGCUUUACUGUAGCCUGAUAUUGAAAUUCGGCACAGCUUGUACAGGAUAGGUAGGAGCCUUUGAAACGUGAGCGCUAGCUUACGUGGAGGCGCUGGUGGGAUACUACCCUAGCUGUGUUGGCUUUCUAACCCGCACCACUUAUCGUGGUGGGAGACAGUGUCAGGCGGGCAGUUUGACUGGGGCGGUCGCCUCCUAAAAGGUAACGGAGGCGCUCAAAGGUUCCCUCAGAAUGGUUGGAAAUCAUUCAUAGAGUGUAAAGGCAUAAGGGAGCUUGACUGCGAGACCUACAAGUCGAGCAGGGUCGAAAGACGGACUUAGUGAUCCGGUGGUUCCGCAUGGAAGGGCCAUCGCUCAACGGAUAAAAGCUACCCCGGGGAUAACAGGCUUAUCUCCCCCAAGAGUUCACAUCGACGGGGAGGUUUGGCACCUCGAUGUCGGCUCAUCGCAUCCUGGGGCUGUAGUCGGUCCCAAGGGUUGGGCUGUUCGCCCAUUAAAGCGGUACGCGAGCUGGGUUCAGAACGUCGUGAGACAGUUCGGUCCCUAUCCGUCGUGGGCGUAGGAAAUUUGAGAGGAGCUGUCCUUAGUACGAGAGGACCGGGAUGGACAUACCUCUGGUGUACCAGUUGUCGUGCCAACGGCAUAGCUGGGUAGCUAUGUGUGGACGGGAUAAGUGCUGAAAGCAUCUAAGCAUGAAGCCCCCCUCAAGAUGAGAUUUCCCAACUUCGGUUAUAAGAUCCCUCAAAGAUGAUGAGGUUAAUAGGUUCGAGGUGGAAGCAUGGUGACAUGUGGAGCUGACGAAUACUAAUCGAUCGAAGACUUAAUCAA